CCUACGGGGGGCUGCAGUGGGGAAUAUUGCACAAUGGGCGCAAGCCUGAUGCAGCGACGCCGCGUGAGCGAUGAAGGCCUUCGGUCGUAAAACCCUGUCCCUAGGGGAGGAUUAUGACGGUUCCCUUGGAGGAAGCCCCGGGCAAACUACGGGCCGGCAGCGGGGGUAAUACGUAGGGGGCGAGCGUUAUCCGGAAUCACUGGGCGUAAAGGGUGCGUAGGCGGCCCUGCAAGUCAGGAGUUAAAUCCCUCGGCUCAACCGAGGUCAGCUCUUGAAACUGUAGGGCUUGAGUGCAGGAGAGGAGAGCGGAAUUCCUAGUGUAGCGGUGAAAUGCGUAGAUAUUAGGAGGAACACCAGUGGCGAAGGCGGCUCUCUGGACUGCAACUGACGCUGAGGCACGAAAGCGUGGGGAGCGAACAGGAUUAGAUACCCGUGUAGUC
rnacentral:rRNA from 1 species